UAUAAUUUAAAGUCUGGCCUGCCCAAUGAUUGUUUUGAAUGGCCGCAGUAUUUUGACUGUGCAAAGGUAGCAUAAUCAUUAGUUUUUUAAUUGAGAACUGGAAUGAAAGGUUGGAUAAGAAAAAUUCUGUCUUAAUUUUAAUGUUAAAAAUUUAUUUUUAAGUUAAAAAGCUUAAAUUUAUUAAAAAGACGAGAAGACCCCCUAGAGUUUAAAUUAAGUUAUUUAUAUUUAUAUAUUGGGAUUAUAAAAUUUUUAUAUAAAAAUUAUAUUUUUGUUGGGGUGAUGUAAAAAUUUAUUUAACUUUUUAUUUAUUUGUACAUUAAUAAAUG
rnacentral:rRNA from 1 species